AAGACGACACAAGUUUGACCUCAAAUCAGGUAGGAAUACCCGCUGAACUUAAGCAUAUCAAUAAGCGGAGGAAAAGAAACCAACCGGGAUUGCCUUAGUAACGGCGAGUGAAGCGGCAAGAGCUCAAAUUUGAAAUCUGGUACCUUUGGUGCCCGAGUUGUAAUUUGUAGAGCAAUACUUCUGGAGCAGGCUUUGCCUAUGUUCUUUGGAACAAGACGUCAUGGAGGGUGAUAAUCCCGUAUGGCGAGGUAUAUGCUUCUUUGUGAGUGAUGUUCGACGAGUCGAGUUGUUUGGGAAUGCAGCUCUAAGUGGGUGGUAUACUCCAUCUAAAGCUAAAUAUCAGCGAGAGACCGAUAGCGAACAAGUACAGUGAUGGAAAGAUGAAAAGAACUUUGAAAAGAGAGUGAAAAAGUACGUGAAAUUGUUGAAAGGGAAGGGCAUUUGAUCAGACAUGGUAGGUAGUGCCCUGUGCCCCUUGUGGGUGCGGGAAUCUCGCUGCUUACUGGGCCAGCAUGAGUUUUGGGGCUUUGAUAAAGACGUUGGAACGUAGCUUUGCACAUUGUGUAAAGUGUUAUAGCCAGUGUUAAUGAAGGCACCCGGGACUGAGGACCGCGACAUAGUCAAGGAUGCUGGCAUAAUGGUUAAAUGCCGCCCGUCUUGA
rnacentral:rRNA from 1 species